UUCGCAAUGCCCGAAAGGGUGACGAAGCGACGCCGCGUGUGGGAAGAAGGCCUUCGGGUUGUAAACCACUGUCAGGAGUUAAGAAGUGUAGUGGCGCGAAUAGCGCUACUACUUGACUAAGGCUCCAGAGGAAGCCACGGCUAACUCUGUGCCAGCAGCCGCGGUAAUACAGAGGUGGCAAGCGUUGUUCGGAAUUAUUGGGCGUAAAGAGCACGUAGGCGGUUCUGCAAGUCGGCUGUGAAAGCCUUCCGCUCAACGGAAGAACAGCAGUUGAUACUACAGGACUCGAGUGCGGGAGGGGAGGGUGGAACUUCUGGUGGAGCGGUGAAAUGCGUAGAUAUCAGAAGGAACGCCGGCGGCGAAAGCGGCUCUCUGGCCCGUAACUGACGCUGAGUGUGCAAAAGCUAGGGGAGCAAACGGGAUUAGAUACCCCGGUAGUCCUAGCCGUAAACGAUGGGCACUAAGUAGAGGGGUUUU
rnacentral:rRNA from 1 species